rnacentral:rRNA from 1 species
AUACGGAGGGUGCAAGCGUUACUCGGAAUCACUGGGCGUAAAGCGCGCGCAGGCGGCUUGAUAAGUUGGAUGUGAAAGCCUACGGCUCAACCGUAGAACUGCAUCCAAAACUAUUUAGCUAGAGUGUGGGAGAGGAAGAUGGAAUUAGUUGUGUAGGGGUAAAAUCCGUAGAGAUAACUAGGAAUACCAAAAGCGAAGGCAAUCUUCUGGAACACUACUGACGCUGAGGCGCGAAGGCGUGGGGAGCAAACAGGAUUAGAAACCACUGUAGUCC